rnacentral:rRNA from 1 species
CCUUAUAGUUCUGGGCCGCACGCGCGCUACACUGACGGAGCCAGCGAGUUGACCUUGGCCGGACAGGUCUGGGAAAUCUUGAGAAACUCCGUCGUGCUGGGGAUAGAGCAUUGCAAUUUUUGCUCUUCAACGAGGAAUUCCUAGUAAGCGCAAGUCAUCAGCUUGCGUUGAUUACGUCCCUGCCCUUUGUACACACCGCCCGUCGCUACUACCGAUUGAAUGGCUUAGUGAGGCCUCCGGAUUUGUCUAGGGCCGAGGGCAACCUUGGCUUGGGACGGAGAAGCUGGUCAAACUUGGUCAUUUAGAGGAAGUAAAAGUCGUAACAAGGUUUCCGUAGGUGAACCUGCGGAAGGAUCAUUAAGAAAAAUUAUAAAUUUUGUUUUAAACACCAUAAAAUUUUUUCACUUCGUUCAAAAAUUUUAAGUAAAAACUUUCAACAACGGAUCUCUUGGUUCUCGCAUCGAUGAAGAACGCAGCGAAUUGCGAUACGUAAUAUGACUUGCAGACGUGAAUCAUUGAAUCUUUGAACGCACAUUGCGCCUUGAGGUAUUCCUCAAGGCAUGCCUGUUUGAGCGUCGGCUCACUUCAAACCUCUGGUUUGGCUUUGCCUCGAAACUUCAAAACUAAUGCAAUACGUUUCAUUAGUCUGUUUUCGCCCUCAAAUCAGGUAAGACUACCCGCUGAACUUAAGCAUAUCAAUAAGCGGAGGAAAAGAAACCAACUGGGAUUGCCUUAUUAACGGCGAGUGAAGCGGCAAAAGCUCAAAUUUGAAAUCCUUCGGGAGUUGUAAUUUGUAGGUGGGGAGCACGCAAAACCCCAAAAAAAAAUCCCCUUGGAACAGGGCCCCCUGGAGGGGGAAAACCCCCAAAUUCUUUGCUGUUUUUGCCCAUUCCCCCCCCAAAAAUCCAAUUUUUUUGGGAAUGCC